rnacentral:rRNA from 1 species
CAAGCUGUCUCCUUUUUCCAACCAGUGAAACUAAUCUCCCCGUGAAGAAGCGGGAAUACCACUAUAAGACGAGAAGACCCUGUGGAGCUUAAGGCAAGAUAAUUACUGCUCUUUACAAAUCACCUUCCUGAAAACUACAUAUUACAGCACCUUAAUUAUUUAACCUUUAGUUGGGGCGACUGCGGAGUAAAAUUAAACCUCCGCGUUAAACAAACCUCCCACAAAGAGUUACAACUCUGUGCAUCAACACAUUGACAACAAUUGACCCAAUUACUUGAGCAACGAAACAAGUUACCCCAGGGAUAACAGCGCAAUCCAUUUCAAGAGUUCUUAUCGACAAGUGGGUUUACGACCUCGAUGUUGGAUCAGGGUACCCCAGUGGUGCAGCCGCUACUAAAGGUUCGUUUGUUCAACGAUUAAAGCCCUACGUGA